AGACGUGGCCGACGGGAGUCAAAGUGGGGUAUUCGUUAUUAUCAUAAUAUUAUCUGAUACGGGAUUUAUUCCGACCCAUGUUAUUAAACUUUCUUUAGCACGUUGGCGGAGUGCUUGAAGCCCGCUUGACCUCCGCCACGGGUCGGCCCGGCAUUGCAUAUCUUUGGGAUUGGCCCACGGUUU